UUCAGAGUGGCUCUGAGAAGCCCAGGAAACACCACAUGGGAAAAUGCAAAGCUGAAUAAAUGAAAUGGUUGAAGAUCGUACUUCUGGGCCCUCACCCUGGUAUACCAGGCAACCAGGAAGAAGGGAUGCCUGCUGCUGUAAGCCUGUGCCAGCAACACAGAGACCCAGGCCUUCAGCCCAAGCGGGGCUCUGUGCCUCCAUCGGAAACAUGAACCAGAUUUCCUUGUAAUGGGCUCCAUAUUUAGGCCCAGCAGCCUUAGAUGUCUGGCCAAUAGGAAAGCUAUGUCCUUCCUGCACAAUUUCAGCCCUAAGAAUCUGUGACUCUCCCUCCCUGGAGGCCUAGAGAACAAGAGGAGGGAGGGCUUGAAAUCAAUAAAUGGAUUGCACACCUGCAGGGCUCUGCCAUUUGUCAUCUGUGAGCUACGCAGCCAUUCUGGGGCUUACGCUAUCCUGAGCUGCGUGUGUUUCCAUGGUCUCCCAUUAUGCUCCACUUUGACCCCUCAAAAUAUUGUUUCAACUUCCAGGAGGCUGGAUGAUGGGGAGAGAGAGGCAAAGAGAGAGGGAGGGAGCAAGGGAGUUGGCAGAAUGAGAGAGGGAGCAUGUCCAAAAAUGCCGGCUCCAGCCAACUGUAUCAGAUGCCAGCUGCCAAUACCACCCUGGUCCCUCUGAGGUCAGCCAGGUAGCUGGAGCCCUUCCUUGCCUUCCAGGCAAACAGGCUGCUACUCCAAGGGAAAACAGCCCUCAAAUGCAGCCCUGCUCGGCUUCUCAGAAGGCUAGGGAGGAGAAAGGGGAUUGAAUUAACCAAGAUAUCCAACAUAUCGUCUCCAGGGUGAAGUAGAAAAUCAACAGCAUGACCUUUAAGGCCACUCACUCAUUCACUCCAAGAUAAAUUCUAUAGGUGCCCAUGGUGUGCUGGGGAGGAGAGGGGAGGGGAACGGACAGCUCCUACCCCUAGGAGCUUUGUGUCACCCAUGUCAUCAGCCGAAGUGCUGGCUUAAUAGACGGAACU
rnacentral:lncRNA from 1 species